UACGGGGGGGGGCAAGCGUUGUUCGGAAUUACUGGGCGUAAAGGGCUCGUAGGCGGCCAUCUAAGUCGGACGUGAAAUCCCUCGGCUUAACCGGGGAACUGCGUCCGAUACUGGAGGGCUUGAGUGUGGGAGAGGGAUGCGGAAUUCCAGGUGUAGCGGUGAAAUGCGUAGAUAUCUGGAGGAAUACCGGAUGGCGAAGGCGAGGUCCUCGUGGCCGUAACUACUGACG
rnacentral:rRNA from 1 species